UGGAACCAGGCUUCAAAGGAGAUCAGUCUUGGUCCUUCAAAGCCUGAAACCAGAGGGAUAUUUGAUCAGAGCUCUAUUCUGCCAAGAUCCAGAAGGAGGCAGGUGGAUGCUUUGGCGCUCUUGCAGAUGAGGGGGAACAUUGUGGGUUUGUGCUUCCCACAGAGGCCAGCGAGACCUCUGGAGAUGUUGCUGUAAUUCCCCCAAAUGGCUUUGGCAGACAAGUGGUCCAAUGAUUUAAAAGGAGGGGCCUCACAGAAAUGAGGCAGGAUUCCAUCCCUGGGGGCAGCCUGAAUGUGGCAAAGAAUGGAGAGGAGGAUGAGUGUGCAAGAAGCAACCAGCAUCAUCCCUGGAAGAAACACUCCCUGAGUACACAGACCAUGAGAAAUACACGUGUGUGACACCUGGGACCACAGCCACAGCUUUCCCAGCCUAUCUUCAAAGGGGAGGUGCUCCAGUCCUCCUACCAAUGCUGUGGCCUCCUCUGGAUUGUUCCAACCAUUCCACAUCCUUCUUAUGCUGGGGACAUCAGAAAUGGACACUGCACUGCAGCUGAGGUCUCACCAGAGCAGAGGGGGAGAAUCUCCUCUUGGACCUGCUGCCCAUGCUCCUUUUGAUGGAGGCCAGGAUGUAAAAAUCUGUUUUGUGCCAGUGCCAGAGCCAGCUCAGCUCAGUGGAAGAUCAGCAACAUGCCCUGUGUGUGUUCCUGCUGAACCCUGGGAAGUGACUGGUACAACCACAUCGACUGCUUCGCCUUCCUCUAAUGGAAAUUAUCAUUUUGGACGGGUCCUAAAACGUUUGAAGUGAGUUAAACAUGUGAAAGUUAAAGUAAGUUAAACAUGAGCUCUGUGAAACAUGGAGCUCAGCUUGAUCCUUCAGAUGACUUUCAGCCAACCCAUGUAUCUCCCUCCCUUACUACCAUACUUGUAAUUAUUUUUUUUCCUGAAGCAAUUACUCAGAGCCCAUGUGUGGCUGAGAUCAGUUUAAUUCACCAGUGAUUUCCCCUUCCUCGUCCCUGUGUUUGCUCUACAAAUUCUCCAACCAUCUGAUGCUGUUUUUUGAUGAAGAGCACCCCUUGCCUGCUGGGUCUCACCUCACCAGGGUGCCCAUGUGUUACUCCGAUACAGAAUGGCAAAUGUGACACUGUGCUCUUGACAUGCCAUCAUUAACACACACACACACACCAGCAUUUUUUAAUGCUAAAUAUAAUUUACCAGAAGUCAGGCAACACAAGCUGAAAUAACAAAUUUGUGGUUCAUGCCCACCGUCUGAUUUGUCUUCCUGUCAGCCGAGCCCCUGUCAGCAUCAUCUGAAGAUAAUUCUCCCUUUUGGUGAGAGUUAAUCUGUGAGGAGAAAGGGAGGGGGGACCAGGAGAAUUGGAGAUUUGAGAGAGGAGCCGCCUCAGUGACAACACAGGCAGUGAUUUGUUACCUGUUGUCUUGUUUUGGAAAGACAGGUGUCUGCCAGGGAAAGCUGGAGCUUCUCUUAGAAUGGAGAAUGUAAACCACCUCCCUCCAAAUUAUUAUAAUUUUGCAAUUAGGGGCUUUCAGGCAAAGAUUUGGGAAUAGGAAUAACAGUUCUUUACUAGGAAUAUUAAAAAUACAAAUAUGGUAGCAAAGAAAAGAAAAACCAAGGAAACAAGAAAAAAUCCUAGAAACAACUGUCAGAGUCAGAACACGACCUGACACCCUGUUGGUCAAGGUGUUGACAGCAGUCCAGUUAAGUCCUCCUGCAGUGACAAAUGUGGUGCUGAUAUAGGAGAGAUGAUCCUGUAGAAGGGUGUAGUCUCCUUCUGAAGGUCCAGUGGUGAUGAGUCUGGUCUUCCUCUGGGAAUCCUGGGGAAACAGGCUGUCCUGGUGUUCUGAAUGCCAGGGUUUAUCCAGGUGGGAAUGCAGUGCACACAGGCUGUGCUGGGCUCUGAAUGCCAGGGUUUAUCCAGGUGGGAAUGCAGUGCACACAGGCUGUGCUGGGCUCUGAAUGCCAGGGUUUAUCCAGGUGGGAAUGCAGAGCACACAGGCUGUGCUGGGCUCUGAAUGCCAGGGUUUAUCCAGGUGGGAAUGCAGUGCACACAGGCUGUGCUGGGCUCUGAAUGCCAGGGUUUAUCCAGGUGGGAAUGCAGUGCACACAGGCUGUGCUGGGCUCUGAAUGCCAGGGUUUAUCCAGGUGGGAAUGCAGAGCACACAGGCUGUGCUGGGCUCUGAAUGCCAGGGUUUAUCCAGGUGGGAAUGCAGAGCACACAGGCUGUGCUGGGCUCUGAAUGCCAGGGUUUAUCCAGGUGG